ACGGCUCAGUAACACGUGGAUAACCUGCCCAAGGGUCUGGGAUAACCCCGGGAAACUGGGGAUAAUACCGGAUGGAUCACUAGUGCUGGAAUGCUUGGUGGUCGAAAGGCAACGCCUUUGGAUGGGUCUGCGGCGGAUUAGGUUGACGCCGGUGUAACGUACCGGCGUGCCUGUAAUCCGUACGGGUUGUGGGAGCAAGAGCCCGGAGAUGGAUUCUGAGACACGAAUCCAGGCCCUACGGGGCGCAGCAGGCGCGAAAACUCUACAAUGCAGGCAACUGCGAUAGGGGGACAUCGAGUGGCAUCCACCUUGGGUGCCUGUCCAACCGUCUAAAAAACGGUUGUUAGCAAGGGCCGGGUAAGACCGGUGCCAGCCGCCGCGGUAAUACCGGCGGCUCGAGUGGUGGCCGAUAUUAUUGAGUCUAAAGGGUCCGCAGCCGGCUUUGCAAGUCCCCUGGGAAAUCCAGCGGCUUAACCGUUGGGCUUUCAUGGGAUACUACAUUGCUUGGGACUGGGAGAGGUAGGAGGUACUCGGGGGGUAGGGGUGAAAUCCUGUAAUCCUCCGGGGACCACCGGUGGCGAAGGCGUCCUACCAGAACAGGUCCGACGGUGAGGGACGAAAGCUAGGGGCACGAACCGGAUUAGAUACCCGGGUAGUCCUAGCCGUAAACGAUGCCCGCUAGGUGUCACGACGGUCGUGAAUCGUCGUGGUGCCGUAGGGAAGCCGCGAAGCGGGCCACUUGGGAAGUACGGCCGCAAGGCUGAAACUUAAAGGAAUUAGCGGGGGAGCAC
rnacentral:rRNA from 1 species